rnacentral:lncRNA from 1 species
AAAAUUCCUAAGGAUCCGCAGGAUGCUUCAGGCCUGCCUAGACGGUGCUUGAAAUCGCCCUUAGACAGCCUCUGAGACACUUUCUCAACCUCACCUGCCCCGGUGGGAUGCCAACUCCAGGUGUCAGACCUCUGCUCCACCUUGGACUAGCCUUUGUCGUGGUUCCUGCCUUUCCCAGACGACCGUGCUGAGAAGCAGGAGCCCCUGUGAGGCCCAGGAUGAAGGAAGACAGUGAGCUUAAGGACACAGGAAUCUUCCGCUAGCACCAUCAUCCAGAAUUUUAACUAAAAUUCCAUCUCAAAGAGACCCCUCAAAAACUCACAAGACUGUAUCUCCAGCCCAAUGGGACCCGAUU